AGUGAACGCUGGCGGUAGGCCUAACACAUGCAAGUCGAACGGCAGCACAGUAAGAGCUUGCUCUUACGGGUGGCGAGUGGCGGACGGGUGAGGAAUACAUCGGAAUCUACUUUUUCGUGGGGGAUAACGUAGGGAAACUUACGCUAAUACCGCAUACGACCUACGGGUGAAAGCAGGGGAUCUUCGGACCUUGCGCGAUUGAAUGAGCCGAUGUCGGAUUAGCUAGUUGGCGGGGUAAAGGCCCACCAAGGCGACGAUCCGUAGCUGGUCUGAGAGGAUGAUCAGCCACACUGGAACUGAGACACGGUCCAGACUCCUACGGGAGGCAGCAGUGGGGAAUAUUGGACAAUGGGCGCAAGCCUGAUCCAGCCAUACCGCGUGGGUGAAGAAGGCCUUCGGGUUGUAAAGCCCUUUUGUUGGGAAGGAAAAGCAGCAGGUUAAUACCCCGCUGUUCUGGCGGUACCCAAAGAAUAAGCACCGGCUAACUUCGUG
rnacentral:rRNA from 1 species